rnacentral:snoRNA from 1 species
GGGGAGCAUCCAAGAGUUGAGAUGCUUCUUGAUACAAUCUUCCUAAAGAAAAGAUUGGUAAUUUCCUGCUUGUGGUUCUUGUAAAAAGCUCUGCAAGUCUCAAAUUACCAGACAUUCGA